rnacentral:rRNA from 1 species
GACGUAGGAGGCGAGCGUUUGUCCGGAAUUAUUGGGCGUAAAGAGCUUGUAGGCGGUUUGUCGCGUCUGCUGUGAAAUUUCGGGGCUCAACCCCGAACUUGCAGUGGGUACGGGCAGACUAGAGUGUGGUAGGGGAGACUGGAAUUCCUGGUGUAGCGGUGAAAUGCGCAGAUAUCAGGAGGAACACCGAUGGCGAAGGCAGGUCUCUGGGCCAUAACUGACGCUGGAGAAGCGAAAGCAUGGGGAGCGAACAGG